rnacentral:lncRNA from 1 species
UUUCUUCUCCUUCUCUCUUUCUCUCUUCCCCUCUAGUUGCUAUUACAGAAAAAAGAAAAUAUAGUGACCCAACACCACCAUUUUGUUAAACAAUUUGUCACCGUUGGGAGUUUCUAAAUAAACCUGCACAAACAUUUGAGAAUAAAUCAAUUAAACAUAAUAAACUUCAAAUCAAUUGAGCACUGAAAGUCUCAAAACCAAC